GAUGAACGCUGGCGGCGUGUCUAAUACAUGCAAGUCGAGCGAACAGACGAGGAGCUUGCUCCUCUGACGUUAGCGGCGGACGGGUGAGUAACACGUGGAUAACCUACCUAUAAGACUGGGAUAACUUCGGGAAACCGGAGCUAAUACCGGAUAAUAUAUUGCACCGCAUUGUUCAAUAGUGAAAUACGGUUUUUCUGUCGCUUAUAGAUGGCUCCGCGCCGCAUUAGCUAGUUGGUAAGGUAACGGCUUACCAAGGCAACGAUGCGUAGCCGACCUGAGAGGGUGAUCGGCCACACUGGAACUGAGACACGGUCCAGACUCCUACGGGAGGCAGCAGUAGGGAAUCUUACGCAAUGGGCGAAAGCCUGACGGAGCAACGCCGCGUGAGUGAUGAAGGUCUUCGGAUCGUAAAACUCUGUUAGUAGGGAAGAACAAAUGUGUAAGUAACUAUGCACGUCUUGACGGUACCUAAUCAGAAAGCUACGGCUAACUACGUG
rnacentral:rRNA from 1 species